rnacentral:sRNA from 1 species
CGCGUGGCCAACUUGGACAAAUGCAAACUUGGUUGCAAGAAAAAAGUUGGAAGGGCAACAUAAUUGGAAAAUUGGGUUACAACAAUCACCCUUUAAACUGCAGAGAAGUCUUCAUUUGAAGUUCUUUUCGACUGGGAUGAGAAGAUUGGAGUCCCGAGAGCAUUCAUAAUUAGAAAUGAGCAUCAGAGUGAGUUUUAUUUGAGUUGAUAACUGACCUUUAUGUGCAUUUUUGGUUUGGCUCUUAUUUGAAAUAUUUUUCUAAUUGUGAUCAUUGUGCCUCAUGUUUUGUUAGGAUUUUGAUAUUCUAAUUUCUUUGUAUAAGAUUAGUGUAUGUGUUAGGAAUUUCGGGUUUAGUCAUUUUUGUAUACUAUCACAAGAUAUGUGCUUGCACUUGCUAAUCUUUUUUGCUAUGUUUGUAUAAAUAUGAUAUUGAUGUGGUUAUAAGAAAUAAGAAAGUGACUUCAAAUGCCCAUUUCAUUUGAGUCUUAUCUUUUCCGUCUGAAUAUUAAUAAUCAGAUCAAAUUCUUUGACCUAAGCCGUAAAUUUUGUGGGUUGAAAAAAAAAACACUGAAUUAUGUGAAGUGGAAUGAAACCAUAGGUUUUUGUAAUACAUUUGGAAAUGAACAUUAUUAUGCUUUUGUAAUAUGAUGCUCUCUUAAUUUUAUUAUGUAAUUUGUUUCUGUAAUACGAUGAUCUCUUAACUUGCUUUUGCAGAUCUUCUUUGGUUCCUAUGCUAGCUUUGUGUGUCUCCAUCUCCAAAUAAUUUAGUUGAAAAUCACUAAUACGCAUGCAAAUUUGAAAGGGUUUUGAUCUUUCGAUGAGUUUAAAAUGUUUGUUGGUGGUUGGUUGUAUUGCUGUCAAAUAUUUGUUGGAUAGUUUGGAACGGAGAAGUUGGUUGAUUUAGAGAAACUGAAUACACAUGGAAUUUGGAAGAGUUUUUGGUCUUAUAUUGGUUUAAACUACUUUUUUGACAAUGAGUACUGGAGGGAACUUUUGGUGUUCCAUUGAACAAUUUUUGUCAUAUUUUAUCAAUGUAAAUGACACAAUAUUUCUUAACGUUUUUUGCAUGUAAAUAGCCCAAAGUUCCAUAACCUUUUGUAU